rnacentral:rRNA from 1 species
AUGGAAAUCUACUCCAAAGAAGAGGAGUAUUGGUGCCAGCGCGGAUCUAUGAACUGGGUAUUGUUUGGCGACGCCAACACUACCUACUUCCAGGCCAUCGCUAAUGGCCGGCGGCGGCGCUGCUCUAUUCCCCUGUUAUGGAAGGGAGGCUGGCUUUUACAGGAUCCCACAGCGAUCCGUUCGCUGGUUGAUGACAUUUAUAAGUCCCUCUUUACCGGACGCCCCCAGGGUGGGGUCGCCCUUGCUGACCACCUUUGAUCUUCUAACAAACAAAUCUCCCCCGAGGAGAAUGAUGCUCUCCUCGCCCCCUUUGAUGCCGUGGAGGUGGAGACGUUUGUCAAAUCGAUGAACCCGACCUCGGCUCCAGGUCCCGACGGCCUCCCGGUUCGCUUCUUCCAGGCCUUUUGGCCGAUGGUUAAGGACAUCAUUCUUGACUUAUUUCGCGAAUUCUCUCAGGGAACUUUAGACGUGUCUCGUCUCAACUAUGGGAUCAUCUCCCUGAUCCCAAUGGCUCCUGGUGCGGCGGACAUCCGGAAAUUCCGGCCUAUCACGGUCCUCAGUCUAUUUUGGAUCCUGGCCAAAGGGUACGCCACUAGGGAGGCCCUUGUAGCUCCUCGAAUCCAUCAUCCAAACCAAACGACCUUCACUAAAAGCUGA